rnacentral:tRNA from 1 species
GCCGGAGUGGCGGAAUUGGCAGACGCAAGGGACUUAAAAUCCCUCGCCUUUUAUAGGUGUACCGGUUCGAUUCCGGUCUCCGGCACCA